CGGACGGGUGAGUAAUGUCUGGGAAACUGCCUGAUGAGGGGGAUAACUACUGGAAACGGUAGCUAAUACCGCAUAACGUCGCAAGACCAAAGAGGGGGACCUUCGGGCCUCUUGCCAUCGGAUGUGCCCAGAUGGGAUUAGCUAGCAGGUGGGGUAACGGCUCACCUAGGCGACGAUCCCUAGCUGGUCUGAGAGGAUGACCAGCCACACUGGAACUGAGACACGGUCCAG
rnacentral:rRNA from 1 species